AAAUUUUCCAUCAUACUACCACAGUACUACAAAUUAAAUUUUGGUACUACUAUUAUUUAUUGUGUAUCAUAUUAAUGCCCUUUUAGAAAUAGAUUGGACUGAUAAAUUUAUAGUAUAAUGUAGAAGACGGACUACUCAUUAUGUGCCACGUGGAUGUUGCUGCUACCUGUCACCCUCACAGCUGCGGUUACCCAUGGUGGCCAUACUUCUGAAAGCCUCAAUCAAUGGCGGAACCCUAUACUGGAAGAGCGCGAUUGAACAUCCAUCACCUCUUCCAUAGAAAUUUCAAGUGAAGCAAAGACAUGGAAGAAGAGCAACGCCUGGAGUUGAUCAG
rnacentral:misc_RNA from 1 species